rnacentral:rRNA from 1 species
UACGGAGGGUGCGAGCGUUGUCCGGAAUCACUGGGCGUAAAGGGCGCGUAGGCGGCCCGGUAAGUAGGGGGUGAAAUCUUGCGGCUUAACCGCAAGGCUGCCUUCUAAACUGCCAGGCUCGAGCACAGUAGAGGCAGGUGGAAUUCCCGGUGUAGCGGUGGAAUGCGUAGAGAUCGGGAAGAACAUCGGUGGCGAAGGCGGCCUGCUGGGCUGUUGCUGACGCUGAGGCGCGACAGCGUGGGGAGCAAACAGG